rnacentral:rRNA from 1 species
UGGAGCCUGCGGCUUAAUUUGACUCAACACGGGGAACCUCACCAGGCCCGGACACCGGAAGGAUUGACAGAUUGAGAGCUCUUUCUUGAUUCGGUGGGUGGUGGUGCAUGGCCGUUCUUAGUUGGUGGAGCGAUCUGUCUGGUUGAUUCCGAUAACGAACGAGACUCUGCCUUGCUAACUAGUCGGCGAAUCGUCUCCCGAGAGGGAGCCCUCGCGCGGUAACCGUUCGCCUUUCUUUGCGUCUCGGAGGGGGCGGCUCGAUCGUAGCCGUCGCGGUCGACGUCAGUCCCUUCGCGGGGUCUGGCGCUGGUUCGCGUAUGCUGCCCGGGUCUAACUCCCUUCGGUGAUCGCGGGUUCGGUGGCGCCCGCGCGUUCGGUUCCAACUAGGGGCGUUCGCCGCAAAAUCUUCUUAGAGGGAUCAGCGGCGUCCAGCCGCACGAAAAAGAGCAAUAACAGGUCUGUGAUGCCCU